GCGGCGACCGCCGGCAACUGUUGUGGCUGCCGCAUUGCUCCCGCCGGGCUGUAGCUGAGCGCGGAGCCCGUGGGGGCCGGUGAGAUGGAACUGUUUUCCCGCGUUGAGACGUGCGGUCCGCUUGUGCUUUCAGAACUAGUAAGACUGCUGCAGAGUCCGGAGGAAGAAGUCACCUAGAAAAGUCUGGGACAGGGCAGUAAGCUUCCUUCUUAAUGUUUGACCUUUGGGGGCCGAUGUGUGAUACCUCGGAUUUGAAUCAAGAAUCUCCAAGCCCAUUUUCCGCAUGCAUGUAAACGUGAUGUACCGGGAUGGGGGCUGGUGGUGGAGGAGGAGCCAGCCCAACGGAUAUGCGUUUCCAGUGGCAGGGACUUGUGUUAAUUUCUUUUUUCUUUUUUCUUUUUUUUUCUUUUUUCCGAGACGGAGUCUCACUCUGUCGCCCAGGCGGGAGUGCAGUGGCGCGAUCUCGGCUCACUGCAACCUCUGCCUCCUGGGUUCAAGCAAUUCUCCUGCCUCAGCCUCCCAAGUAGCUGGGAAUACAGGUGUGCGCCACCACGCCCGGCUAAUUUUUGUGUUUUUAGUAGAGACGGGGUUUCACUAUGUUGGCCAGGCUGGUCUGGAACUCCUGACCUCGUGAUUCGCCCGCCUCAGCCUCCCAAAGUGCUGGGAUUACAGGCGUGAGCCACUGCGCCCGGCCAACUUGUGCUAAUUUCUUAAACUUGCGUGAUCACCUGGUG
rnacentral:lncRNA from 10 species